rnacentral:tRNA from 1 species
GCCGCUGUGACGGAACAGGCAGACGCGCCGCCCUCAAAAGGCGGUGCUCGUGAGAGCGUCCGGGUUCGACUCCCGGCGGCGGCACCU